CUGGACAGAGCACAGAAUUGCUUCUUAAGUCAGCCCGGCGCGGUUGCAAUAGACAGCAAAAAGGUAAACGUUUGCCUGAAAUCCGCACGCCAGCUCCACCGCCCCGCCCGAUGGUCCCAGUUCCUCUGGGAAUCGUCCUGUAUGCAACAUCUUCACAAGAGUGGCAGGCAGUUGAAUCUCUGGCCUUCGUGGGACCACUGGACAUCUGGCAGAGAACCAGGAAACCACGGUUCCCUUCUGUGAGUCCCUCAGCCGGAAAACUACAAGCUCCUCAUGCAGCUGCUGUCUACAGACCCCCUGGACUGCCUGGGGAAGUGAGUCGGAGCUCCUGCAGCAGAGGGGUGGAACAGCUACACGAAGAUCCGAAGGUGGCCAAAAAUAACAGCGCUUUCCAGAUGAGGGAGCCAGUUGUCCAGCACAGUGUCAUGGGACAGUGGGCCCUGGUGCCACAAUGCCCGGCAUCUCCACCAGAUACAGCUUUGAGAUCUUCAUGAUGAAGCUUGCUCCAAUCCAAGGGCUGUCAGGUGGGGUUUGCGGUUCAGCUGCUAACCUUUCUUUGAUCCAAAUCCUGUCUUCACUGGCUUCAAGAAUCCUGUCUUCACUGGCUUCAAAACUGGGAUGAAGGAGGCUCCUUAGUGGAGAGCAAAGCAAAGAGGUAUUUGACACAGGGAUAAAGGGAUUGAUAGAAGUCAGGGACUGUCUCCAGGGAGAAGUGAUCUUUGAGCUGAAUCUAGAUUGGUGGUCAGGAUUGAGUUACUCAGAUGGACAUACGUGACAUGGUUUAAGAGUGGGCUGAGGGAAUAGCAGUGCAAAGGCCUGAAGAGAUGUUUAGUGAAAAGGCUCAACCAAAUCUCUGGACAUACAAAACCAACUAAUGGACUGUGAGAAGAGUGGUAAUCCCCCAGCCCUCGAAUUUCAAUUAUGUAGAUAAUUGCUU
rnacentral:lncRNA from 1 species